rnacentral:rRNA from 1 species
AUUGAACGCUGGCGGCAGGCCUAACACAUGCAAGUCGAGCGAGCGGCGGACGGGUGAGUAAUGUCUGGGAAACUGCCUGAUGUAGGGGGAUAACUCCUGGAAACGGUAGCUAAUACCGCAUACCAUAAGAUUGGCCCAGAUGUGAUUAGCGAGUAGGUGGGGUAACGGCCCACCUAGGCGACGAUCCCUAGCUGGUCUAGGAGGAUGACCAGCGACACUGGAACUGAGACACGGUCCAGACUCCGACGGGAGGCAGCAGUGGGGAAUAUUGCACAAGGGGCGCAAGCCGGAUGCAGCCAUGCCGCGUGUGUGAAGAAGGCCUUCGGGUUGUAAAGCACUUGCAGCGGGGAGGCGUUACCCGCAGAAGAAGCACCGGCUAACUCCGUGCCAGCAGCCGCGGUAAUAC